GUGGGGAAUAUUGGGCAAUGGGCGCAAGCCUGACCCAGCAACGCCGCGUGAAGGAAGAAGGCUUUCGGGUUGUAAACUUCUUUUACCAGGGACGAAACAAAUGACGGUAUCUGGUGAAUAAGCCACGGCUAACUACGUGCCAGCAGCCGCGGUAAUACGUAGGUGGCGAGCGUUAUCCGGAUUUAUUGGGUGUAAAGGGCGUGUAGCCGGGACAGCAAGUCAGAUGUGAAAACCAGAGGCUCAACCUCUGGCCUGCAUUUGAAACUGUUGUUCUUGAGUGUCGGAGAGGUAAUCGGAAUGCCGUGUGUAGCGGUGAAAUGCGUAGAUAUUCGGAAGAACACCAGUGGCGAAGGCGACACACUGGCUCAUUACUGACGCUGAGGCGCGAAAGCGUGGGGAGCAAACAGGAUUAGAAACCCUGGUAGUCC
rnacentral:rRNA from 1 species